rnacentral:rRNA from 1 species
GACGAACGCUGGCGGCGUGCUUAACACAUGCAAGUCGAACGAGGGGCGAACGGGUGAGUAAUACGUGAGUAACCCGUCCUCUUUUUGGGAUACGCCCUGGUAACGGGGGCGAAUACCGGACAAAGGGGGAUGGGCUCGCGGCCUAUCAGCUGGUUGGUGGGGUGAUGGCCUACCAAGGCGGUCAUGGGUAGACGGCCUGAGAGGGUGGCCGGCACCAUUGGGACUGAGAUACGGCCCAGACACCUACGGGAGGCAGCAGUGGGGGAUAUUGCACAAUGAGCAGAGGCCUACUGCGGCGGCGGCGCGUGGGGGAUGAAGGCGUUCGGUUUGUAAACCUGUUUCGAUAUCGAACGGGUAGGUGGAUAAGAAGCGCCGGCUAACUACGUGCCAGCAGCCGCGGUAAUUC